rnacentral:snoRNA from 1 species
ACGACCUUACUUGAACAGGAUCUGUUCUAUAGGCUCGUACCAUUGCAUCCUUGAUUUCUAAGGAGACAGGAAACCAAGUCUGGUGGAUGAAUCAUUGCCAUUAGACUAGAGCGUGAUUAAACAGCACCAGUGCCCCGUUGGGGCUCAUGGGUGCGGUAGAUGAUCGUUCUCAGCUACUACAAUCAUGGUGCCUGAGAUGGUCUAAUGGUUAUCUGACAGACU